UAGAUACCCUGGUAGUCCACGCCGUAAACGAUGGAUACUAGCUGUUGGAGGUAUCGACCCCUUCAGUAGCGAAGCUAACGCGUUAAGUAUCCCGCCUGUGUAGUACGAUCGCAAGAUUAAAACAUAAAGGAAUUGACGGGGACCCGCACAAGCGGUGGAGCGUGUUCUUUAAUUCGAUGAUAAACGAAGAACCUUACCCAGGCUUGACAUCCCUUGAAUUUUGUCGAAAGACGAAAGUGCUUUUAGAACA
rnacentral:rRNA from 1 species